UGCAAAUAAAAUUCAAAUUUGAAAAAUAUAUCCUAGCUCCACACCGGCGUCACUCAAAGUUCCUACGCCCCUCCCUCCCCGCACACAGAUGAUAAGAGACGGCGGAACCCGCGAGGUGUCGGGAGUCUAGUACAGA
ensembl:ncRNA C05H8.4 ncRNA